UACGAGGGGGGCGAGCGUUGUUCGGAAUUAUCGGGCGUAAAGGGCGCGUAGGCGGUCGGAUAAGUCUUGUGUGAAAUCUUCGGGCUCAACUCGAAGUCUGCACAGGAAACUAUCUGGCUUGAGUGUGGGAGAGGUGAGUGGAAUUCCUGGUGUAGCGGUGAAAUGCGUAGAUAUCAGGAGGAACACCUGUGGCGAAGGCGAGUCUCUGGACAUUUCCUGACGCUGAGGCACGAAAGCCAGGGGAGCAAACGGG
rnacentral:rRNA from 1 species